rnacentral:tRNA from 1 species
AAGGAGUUAGUUAAUUUGUAUAACAUUGGUAUGUCAAACCAAAAUAGCUAAAACUCAGUACUCCUUU